rnacentral:rRNA from 1 species
UACGUAGGGACCGAGCGUUGUUCGGAAUCACUGGGCGUAAAGGGCGUGUAGGCGGUCCGCUAAGUCUGAUGUGAAAGCCCGGGGCUCACCCCCGGAAGGGCAUUGGAAACUGGCGGACUCGAGUCCCGGAGAGGAAGGUGGAAUUCCUGGUGUAGCGGUGAAAUGCGUAGGUAUCAGGAGGAAUACCGGUGGCGAAGGCGGCCUUCUGGACGGUGACUGACGCUGAGACGCGAAAGCGUGGGGAGCAAACAGG